UUUGAUCAUGGCUCAGAUUGAACGCUGGCGGCAGGCCUAACACAUGCAAGUCGAGCGGAUGAAGGGAGCUUGCUCCUGGAUUCAGCGGCGGACGGGUGAGUAAUGCCUAGGAAUCUGCCUGGUAGUGGGGGAUAACGUCCGGAAACGGGCGCUAAUACCGCAUACGUCCUGAGGGAGAAAGUGGGGGUUCUUCGGACCUCACGCUAUCAGAUGAGCCUAGGUCGGAUUAGCUAGUUGGUGGGGUAAAGGCCUACCAAGGCGACGAUCCGUAACUGGUCUGAGAGGAUGAUCAGUCACACUGGAACUGAGACACGGUCCAGACUCCUACGGGAGGCAGCAGUGGGGAAUAUUGGACAAUGGGCGAAAGCCUGAUCCAGCCAUGCCGCGUGUGUGAAGAAGGUCUUCGGAUUGUAAAGCACUUUAAGUUGGGAGGAAGGGCAGUAAG
rnacentral:rRNA from 1 species